rnacentral:snRNA from 1 species
GUGCUCUCUUCAGCAGCACAAAUACUUAAAUCAGAAUGACACAGAGAUUAGCGUGGCCCCUGCACAAGGAUAACACGCAAAUUUGUGAAGCGUUCCAUAUUUAA